rnacentral:rRNA from 1 species
GAUGAACGCUAGCGGGAGGCCUAACACAUGCAAGCCGAGCGGUAUUGUUUCUUCGGAAAUGAGAGAGCGGCGUACGGGUGCGUAACACGUGUGCAACCUGCCUUUAUCUGGGGGAUAGCCUUUCGAAAGGAAGAUUAAUACUCCAUAAUAUAUUGAACGGCAUCGUUUAAUAUUGAAAGCUCCGGCGGAUAGAGAUGGGCACGCGCAAGAUUAGCUAGUUAGUGAGGUAACGGCUCACCAAGGCGAUGAUCUUUAGGGGGCCUGAGAGGGUGAUCCCCCACACUGGUACUGAGACACGGACCAGACUCCUACGGGAGGCAGCAGUGAGGAAUAUUGGUCAAUGGGUGCAAGCCUGAACCAGCCAUCCCGCGUGAAGGACGACUGCCCUAUGGGUUGUAAACUUCUUUUGUAUAGGGAUAAACCUACCCUCGAGAGGGUAGCUGAAGGUACUAUACGAAUAAGCACCGGCUAACUCCGUG